GCCUGCUUCAGCAAUGCAUCUACUAGAGUUGAAAUGAUACAGAGAAGAUGGAGUGAUACUCGGGCCCUGUGCAAGAAUGACAUGCAAAUUCAUGAAGCAUUCUGCAUUAAA